AACGGCUACUACAUCCAAGGAAGGCAGCAGGCGCGCAAAUUACCCAAUCCCGAUACGGGGAGGUAGUGACAAUAAAUACUGAUACAGGGCUCUUUUGGGUCUUGUAAUUGGAAUGAGUACAAUUUAAAUCCCUUAACGAGGAACAAUUGGAGGGCAAGUCUGGUGCCAGCAGCCGCGGUAAUUCCAGCUCCAAUAGCGUAUAUUAAAGUUGUUGCAGUUAAAAAGCUCGUAGUUGAACCUUGGGCCUGGUUGGUUGGUCUGCCUCACCGCAUGCACUGAUCCGACCGGGCCUUUCCCUCUGGGGAUCCGCAUGCUAUUCAUUUAGUGUGUCGGGGAACCAGGACUUUUACUGUGAAAAAAUUAGAGUGUUCAAAGCAGGCCUAUGCUCGAAUACAUUAGCAUGGAAUAAUAGAAUAGGACGUGUGGUUCUAUUUUGUUGGUUUCUAGGACCGCCGUAAUGAUUAAUAGGGACAGUCGGGGGCAUCAGUAUUCAAUCGUCAGAGGUGAAAUUCUUGGAUCGAUUGAAGACUAACUACUGCGAAAGCAUUUGCCAAGGAUGUUUUCAUUAAUCAGGAACGAAAGUUAGGGGAUCGAAAACGAUCAGAUACCGUUGUAGUCUUAACCAUAAACUAUGCCGACUAGGGAUCGGACGAAGUUAUUUUUUGACUCGUUCGGCACCUUACACGAAAGUAAAGUUUUUGGGUUCUGGGGGGAGUAUGGUCGCAAGGCUGAAA
rnacentral:rRNA from 1 species